UGAACACGGUGCGCUUCACCUCGGAGUUC
rnacentral:piRNA from 1 species